rnacentral:lncRNA from 1 species
AUUUUCUGACAUUUGAAAAGAUCUGAAGAUACGCCCCUUGGAUGCCUGCAGAGAAGCUCUGGGGCUUCAGUCAAUGACUCAGGGUAGCCACCGAACAUGAUGCUCGGGCAGUGGGUGCCACCUGGACUCCACUCUCCCCUCUCUCUGGGAUCAUAGAGUCCAAGGUGUUCUGUGGCCUCUCGGCCAAUCCCAGCAGCUCAGCGUGCAGAAGACCGAGGAGCCAUUGGAAUUCAACACAACACGAAAUAAUCAACAAAUUCGGGGAAUGUUAAUCUGACCAUCACCAGUUACAAAUGAUGUUUCAUGCUACCUUCUAUUCCUGCCUUCAUAAAUCAAGGAAAAGAAAAAGAGAACAUAUAUCCCCCUACCUUUUGAUUUCCAACAGUCUACUGAGAGGCCAAGAUUAUUUGCAGGGAAAGAAAAGGGGUCAAAAUGUUUUGCCAGUAACUCCCAAAUCAUCUACAGCCAAGGAGAAAAGUGUUUCAAGACAGAGGUGCUCAAUGGUAUCAAAUACUGCCAACAGACCAAGUAAUACAUGCAUUGAAGUGUCUACUGGAUCUAGCUAUAUGAAUUUUUAAUUUAGGACACUUAGGCCAUACUGAAGCAAGGUGACAAAAUGAAUAGCUACAAUGUCUCGUGAAUCUUGGGUUUCCAUUCACCCUGGUAUUCAAGAGAAAUUCUUGCAUCAUGGAAGUUGCAGUUGGAUAGGACUUUCUCAGCUGAACACUGUCAUCUGCCAGAGCUUCAGGCAAGAACCCAGAACAGAUGAAACCCCAGACAUGACAAAAUAAGCCAAAGAAUACCAGGCCAAGGUGUGAAAGGCCAGAUGAGAACAAGCAGCGUACACGAUUCUGUUGCCAACAGAUCUCCCCUAACAGUGUCGUGCACCAAAUUUCCACAGUGAAUGUCAGGAAAAAAUGGCAAUUGAGGUGGGUGGUCAAAAGAGAAGCACAGUCUAUGAUGAAGUCACCCCAGAGAAGUCCUUUUUCCGUUUUCUCCUGAGAAAUUACCAGAAGAAAUUAAAAUCCUUUUGAGUAUUGCAAAAAAAAAAAAAAAA